rnacentral:rRNA from 1 species
UACGUAGGGUGCAAGCGUUAUACGGAUUUACUGGGUUUAAAGGGUGUGUAGGCGGACUUUUAAGUCAGUGGUGAAAUCUCGGGGCUCAACCCCGAAACUGCCAUUGAUACUAUUAGUCUUGAAUACUGUGGAGGUGAGCGGAAUGUGUCAUGUAGCGGUGAAAUGCAUAGAGAUGACACAGAACACCGAUUGCGAAGGCAGCUCACUACGCAGUGAGUGACGCUGAGGCACGAAAGCGUGGGGAUCAAACAGG